UAAGACAGUGUCAGAGUGAAGGAAAAAUGG
rnacentral:piRNA from 1 species